GCGAAAUCACUUUGAUUCUUCCGCAUGAGGAGUCUUAUCGAUGACAGAAUGAAGAACGUUGGAGAAAUUUGUUGGGAUGGCCGGGAAAUUUGGUACUUGGCGCCAUAUUUAAAAAAAGUACCAACUACUAAGAGGAAGAGGCGAAAUGUAAGAGUUCGAUAUAAAUAAGAGAGUUAGAUGAUAAAUCGUUGUCGUGGCUGCAAAUGAAGAUGUAGUAAUUGAAUUCGGAUACAAAAAUCGAAAUAAUAAUCGAACGAAUUCAGAUUAUUUAAAUAGUACGUGUUUUUGAUGCAAUUCGUCCGUCUUUUACACACGCGAUGGAUUCCGGUUCCGAUUCUAAUCCCGUGAUUUCCGUUUCAGAAACUGGCACGGUUUCAAGUGAAAAAAAGCCACGCCAGACAUCUGUCGGAUUUCAAAUCCGACAAAUCCGUAGGUCAUCCACAACGAGCUUCAGGUGCAGACAACCGCACCUAAAGCGUGUUGUAUUUAAACAUAAGGGUAUUCGGAUCGAAAUCGU
rnacentral:lncRNA from 1 species